UACGAGAGGCCCAAACGUUGUUCGGAAUUACUGGGCGUAAAGCGCAUGUAGGCGGCCGCGCAGGUCGGAUGUGAAAGCCCUCGGCUCAACCGAGGAAGUGCAUUCGAAACCGCGACGGCUCGAGUCCCGGAGAGGGUGGUGGAAUUCUAGGCGUAGAGGUGAAAUUCGUAGAUUUCUGGAGGAACACCGGCGGCGAAAGCGGCCACCUGGACGAGGACUGACGCUGAGAUGCGAAAGCGUGGGGAGCAAACAGG
rnacentral:rRNA from 1 species